CGUAAUAACAGAAACUAACCAGGAUUCCCUUAGUAACGGCGAGUGAACUGGGAUACCAAUAACACAUAUACGCGUCGUUCGCGACGUGUAUCUUUAGCCCGUCGAUACUAUCCUAGCGUAUGACUCUCUGUCUCGGCAGAGUGUCGCCUAAUACGCGGGAAUUGUAGCAUCGUAAUAAUAUACACCUUUAAGCUUAUACGCGCCACACACACAUAUACCAACAGUGCCGGCCUUGCAAACACACAGCGCUCUCGCGUUGGAAAGCAAGUUAUAUCUUCGGAUAUGCCAUAGAGUGUGACAGCCACGUUUGGAACACUUACUCGGCACUGACACGCGUUAUAAACACAGCUUAUACCGUAUAUAACCUGAGUCGAGUUAUUU
rnacentral:rRNA from 1 species